rnacentral:lncRNA from 1 species
AAGAGUCGAAAGGGACUCACCCGGAAUAACCUUGCAGUCCUUGCAAAUACCCCUAUCGCUCAUUCUGAGGAGGAUGUAAUCAAUCUGAGUCCUCGCCGCCGAACUCUUGAAGGUUACCAAAUGCUCCUCCCUCUUCUGAAAUGUCGAGUUCGCAAUCAGAAGCUCGGAAGCCCUGGCGAAAUCAAGCACAGAAGUGCCUCCUCCGUUCCUGACCCCAAAGCCGAAGCCAUCGUGCACCUCACCAUAACCACCAGCAUCAGCCCCAAUAUGACCAUUAAAGUCUCCUCCAAUAACUAACUUCUCAGAUUGGGGAAUACUAC